GGAUCGCAGGCUGNAACCCGCCUGCGUGAAGUCGGAAUCGCUAGUAAUCGCGGAUCAGCAUGCCGCGGUGAAUACGUUCCCGGGCCUUGUACACACCGCCCGUCACACCAUGAGAGUCGGGAACACCCGAAGUCCGUAGCCUAACCGCAAGGAGGGCGCGGCCGAAGGUGGGUUCGAUAAUUGGGGUGAAGUCGUAACAAGGUACC
rnacentral:rRNA from 1 species